GUGAGGGAUAUUGGGCAAUGGGCGCAAGCCUGACCCAGCGACGCCGCGUGGAGGACGAAGGGCUUCGGCUCGUAAACUCCUUUUCCCGUGGACGAGAAGCGGACGGUACACGGGGAAUAAGUCUCGGCUAACUACGUGCCAGCAGCCGCGGUAAAACGUAGGAGGCGAGCGUUAUCCGGAAUCACUGGGCGUAAAGGGCGUCUAGGCGGCGCGACAAGUGAGGUGUGAAAGCUCCUGGCUCAACUAGGAGAGUGCGCUUCAGACUGUCGCGCUUGGAGGGCAGGCGAAGGGGGUGGAAUUCCCGGUGGAGUGGUGGAAUGCGUAGAGAUCGGGAGGAACACCAGUGGCGAAAGCGGCCCCCUGGCCUGUUGCUGACGCUGAAGCGCGAAAGCGUGGGGAGCAAACGGGAUUAGAAACCCCAGUAGUCC
rnacentral:rRNA from 1 species